rnacentral:rRNA from 1 species
UACGUAGGGGGCGAGCGUUGUCCGGAUUUACUGGGCGUAAAGCGCGUGUAGGCGGCCCGUUAAGUGGGGUGUGAAAGCCCGGGGCUCAACCCCGGGACGCCGCUUCAAACUGGCGGGCUUGAGGACGGAAGAGGGGAGUGGAAUUCCUGGUGUAGCGGUGAAAUGCGUAGAUAUGUGGAAGAACACCGGUGGUGAAGACGGUUUACUGGGCUGUAACUGACGCUGAGGCGCGAAAGCAUGGGGGAGCGAACAGG